rnacentral:rRNA from 1 species
CCCUAUUAAGCUUUAUAAUUCUAACUUAAUAUCAACAUAAAUUAAAAAUUAUUUUACUGGGGCAGUAUAUAAAUAAAAUUUUAUUUUAGUAAUAUGAAUUUAAUUCUUGAAAAACCAAAAAAUUCUUAAAAAAGAAUAAGUUACUAUAGGGAUAACAGCAUAAUUUUCUUUAAGAGUUCUUAUCAUCAAGAAAGUUUGUGACCUCGAUGUUGGAUUAA